UUUUCUUGCGGUUCAAUUUCUCUUGGUUCAGCCUCAUAUAUAUAUAUAUAUAGAGAGAGAGAGAGAGAGAGAGAGAGAGAGAGAGAUUGACUAGGCUACUAUCGGUAGUAAACUGCUCGAUUUACUACCGAUUUAUUUUUUAUGAUAGAGCUUCCAAAUCAACAAUCGGCACCGUUGAACAUAAUCUAGACCAUUUAAAUUAUUUAGAAAUCAAAUUUUAUGAUUUUUUGGUAUCACUAACUGAAUGAUCAAAGGGUCACAAAAUCUAUAAUUUUAAUAGCUGAUAUGGUGCAUUUGCUCGUUUUACGGUAUAGAAAAGUUCAAAUCAACUAAAUUUUUGUUAAAAAAUUCUUUAAACUAUUUAAAAUAAGAUCUAGACUCUAGAUCUCAAAUAUAAAAAUUGAAUCAUCACUUUUUGAAGGAUAUUCAUUUCUAGCCAUUCAUUUUUCUGUUCACUUGAUGAACAUAGAACAAUAUCAAAAAUAUGUGAAAUUUGAUUUCCAAAUAGUUUGAAUAAUUUAGAUUAUGUUUAACGGUGCCGAUCAUCAAUUUUGAAGCUCUAUCAUCGAAAACAAAUCGGUAGUAAACCGAGCCGUUUACUACCGAUAGUAUUCUAGUAAAACUCUCUCUCUCUCUCUCUCUCUCUCUCUCUCUCUAGUAAAACUCUCUCUCUCUCUCUCUCUCUCUCUAUAUAUAUAUAUAUAUAUAUAUAGUAGAUGUUUGGACUGGGCUACUAUUGUAGUAAAUUUAUUGUUGCUUACGUUUUUUAGCUUUGGAUCAACUCUUUUCAUUAUUUCUAACAUUGGAUUAAUACUAUAACCAGUGGGGACACUCACCUAGGGGGACACUCAUCAACUCAACACGCUAAUAUCAUCCUGACCCUACAAUUUUUCAUCUAAGGCGUUAAAAACUGAUAGCAAAAAGAGCGUUUUAUAUUAAUAGUAUUCCAGCCUAUUAUAUAUAUAUAUUAUAUAUAUAUUAUAUAUAUAUAUAUAUAUAUAUAUAUAUUAUUAUAUAUAUAACUAGGCUAAUAUACUAUUAAUAGCACAAGUUAUUGGUGCUACCAAGUUUUUGGCUAUUGGAUUAAGAGAUGUGCGGUUAGUGGGUGGUUGGUUGAUAGUAUUAUCUAACGGGAUGAAAAUGAUCAAAAAGGCAGAUCUAACGGCCGAAAACUUGGUAGCACCAAAUGCUUCGUACUAUUUAUGCAUAGUAGCCGGACUAUUAUAUAUAUAUAUAUAUAUAUAUAUAUAUAUAUAUAUAUAUAUAUAUAAUUAGGCUGGUAAUCAUUAAUAGUAAAUGUUCUUUUUUCUAUCAAGUUUUUAACCAUUGGAUGAAAAAUUGUAGGGUUAUGGAUAUUAUGUCAGUUAGAACUAAGUGGUCCCCUAGGGUUGAGUGGUCCCCACUGGGUUAUAGUAUUUAAUCCAAUGGUUAGAAAUAAUGAAAGAGUUGAUCCUAAGGCUAAAAAACUGGUAGCAACAAUAGAAUUUUGCUACUAAUAGUAGCCCAUUCAACUCACGUCCAUCACUUUCUCUCUCUCUCUCUCUCUCUCUCUCUCUCUCUCUCUCUCUAUAUAUAUAUAUAUAUAUAUAUAUAUAUGAGUAAGUCUACUAUACUUUUAUGAGUACAGAGCUUUUCGUACCUAUAAAUUAUUUUUAUGUUGGGUUUUCGAAUUGAUGAUCCACAUCGUUAAACAUGAUCUAGAAUAUUUGAAACUUCUAAAAGAUAAAUUUCGUAAUUUUUAGAAAUCAUUAUAAAACUCAUCAAGCAGGUAUAAAAUGAACGGUCAAAAUCGAACGAUAUUAUAAAAAUGGAUGAUUGGAUCCUUCAAUUUAAGAUCGAAGUUAUUGAUCUUUAUCUAGGUAGUAAAUAGAAUUUUCUAUCAAAAAUUCAAUCUAUUCUGAUUCUUUUACACUGUUAAAUUAGCAACUAUCGCAUACCGGCCGUUAAAAGUUUUUAAUUUUGUGAGAUUUUGAUGGUAAGGUAAAUGAUAUCAAAAAAUUAUAAAAUUUGAUUUCUAGAAGUUUUAAAUGCUCUAAAUAAUGUUUAACGGUAUGGAUUGUCGAUUUGGAAGCUCUAUUAUCGAAAACAAAUUAUGAGUAUGAAGGCGAUCGUACUCAUAAAAGUAUAGUAGCCGAACUCAUAUAUAUAUAGUUGAGCUAGAUUACUCUCAAAAGCGUCAAAGCGAGUCGUGCUUUUGAGUUUUUAACCAUUGGACGAAGAGAUGUAGGGUUGAGAUGAUGAUGGUAGGUGAAAUCGUAUUUGAUCCAAAUGAUAUUAGUAAUCAAGGAGUAGAUCCAAGGGGUAGAAAGCUAGAAGCACCAGGGACUUGGUGCUUCUAAAAGUAUUCUAGCUCAAUCAUUCAUAUAUAUAUAGUAUAGAGCUAUUAUGCUAUCGGAAACAUAAAGUAGUUGGUGCUUUCGAUAUUUUAGCCCUUGAAUAAAAAAUUCUAUGGUUGGGAUAAUAACGAUCCCCUUAGGGUUGAGUGGUCUUUCUAGGGUUGAGUGGUUUCCAUUGGUUAAUAAUAUUAAUCCAAUGGUUUGAAAUGAUCAAUAGGAUUGAUCUAAGGGUUAAAAAAUCAAAAGCACCAACUACUUUUUAUGCUUUCGAUAGUAUAGUAGCUCCACUCUAUAUGUAUAUAUAUGUAGAGUUGAGCUAGAAUACUAUCGAUAGCAAACGGGCCCUGUUGCCACCUAUUUGUUUUCGAUGAUGGAGCCUCCAAAUCGACGAUCGGCACCGUUGAACAUGAUCUAUACAACUUGAAGUAUUUAGAAAUCAAAUUUCAUACAUUUUCGAUAUUGUUCUCUUAUCUAUCGAGUGGACACAAAAAUGAACGGCUGAAAAUAAAUAUUCUUUAAAAAAUGAUGAUAGGAGUCUUGUAAUUAAGAUCAAGAGUAUAGAUUUUGUUUUAAAUAGUUUAAAAAAUUUUCUAACAAAAAUUCAAUUGAUUGGAUAUCUUUACGCCGUUAAACGAGAAACGCCUCAUAUCGGCCAUUAAAAUUACAAAAUUUGAAACCCUUUGAUCAUCAGGCAAAUGAUGCCAAAAAAAUUUGAAAUUUAAUUUCUAACACUUCAAGUGGUAUAGAUCAUGUUCAACGGUGCCGAUCGUCGAUUUGGAGGCUCUAUCAUCGAAAACAAAUGAGUUGCAAAGGAACUCGUUUGCUAUUGAUAGUAUUCUAGCUCAACUCUAUAUAUAUAUAUAUAUAUAUAUAUAUAUAUAUAUAUAUUCAAAAUCAUAGACAAUUAGUUAGUUGAUUAGUAAUCAAUGAAUCGAUUUAUCCUUUUCAGAGAUGCCUCAAUUGAAAAAGAGUCCCUGCCAGAGCAUUUAUAACACCACAAAGUGGGCUGUGCUCUCAAACAAUUUAUUUAUUUAUUUAUUUAUGCACAUGAAAAGGAGAGAACAAUUAGUGGCUUUUCGCAAAAGGGCUUUUUCCCCCUCUUUGACCCUAAAGUUGAUUGCUUAAUCUCCUCGAAAAGCAAACAGAGAGAAAUAGAAAGAUUGAGGACUUUGUUUUUUUGCUUAAAAGAAAUUGUCCUUUUUACCAACGUGGUGGCAUUGCAUCACCCUUUUCCAUUUUUAUAAAGAGCAGUAAAAAUUUAUGAAAACGUUCGUCCAAACUACGAAGUUAAUAUUAAGCUAUGAAAAAUGCUUGAGGUCAAAAUGUAUAAAGACCCUGCAACUUUGUGAUUGAUUUGAUUUUUUCUUUCUUUUUUUUUGUAAGUUCGUGUUUGUAGAAAUGAACUCGGUUAGAAUUACGAAGUAACUAGAAUUCGAAAUUAAAACCUGAGAUAUCAAUUAUUUCGCUCGUACUAUACUUUUUUCUCUUAUAAAUUAUAGGAGAAACUUCAAAUACUCCCCCUGUGGUUUUGCACUUUCUCAUUUUAGUACUAUGUGGUUUCGUACUUUCUCACUUUAUUACUCUAUAAUUUCAAGUGUAUCAAAUUAGUAUCAUGUGGUUUCAUUUUUGUAUCAAGUUAAUACCCUGUUAUUUUAAUUUUUUUUUUUUAUUAUCCAUUUCGAGAUAUAUAAUUUAACGAAAUAUUAAACCACAUGAUACUAAAGUGAGAAAGUGUGAAAUCAUAGGGUACUAACUUGAUACACUUGAAACCAUGGAGUAAAAAAGUGAGAAGGUUCGAAACCACAUGAUACUAAUUUGAUAUACUUUAAACUAAAUGGUACUAAAGUGAAAAAGUACGAAAUCACAUGAGGGUAUUUCAAGUUUCUCCUAAAUUAUACUGAGACGGGCACAAACCUCAAAUUUUAGCACAUAUGGAGAUUCAAACUCCUAACACUAAAACUACUAGUGGUUAGAUACGAAUCAUCACGAAUCAUCAAAUGACUCAUUAAAUUUCAGCUUUAAAGUGUUAAUUUAUAGCCGAAAAUUCAUGGCAUUUAUGUACUCCCUCUCAAAAUUCUGACAUAUGUAUCCCCCACUUGCUGAGGAGCUUAAUUUUGCCUUCUUGAUACUGCAGGGGAAUAUUUACUUCACAAUCAGAAGCAAGAGCAAACAAAAGAAAUGAAAAGAAUUUUUUUUUUUUUUUAAAAAAAAGAGGAAUUAAAUGCCUCUCUGUGAGCUCUGGUGCUGUGAAGGUGGGACACAAAAGCUGCAGCAAUCACAUGCCCUCACAAUCCCCAUUCCCAUGAUUCCCAUCUCUCCUCUUCUUUUCAUUUUUCAAUUUUUUUUUUUAAAUUUUUUUUCAUUCUUCUGCAGCUGCUGCUGCUCCAAAAAGCAGUUUUUAGAAGACCCCACUGUAAAAGCCUGUCACUUAUUAGAGGGGGCUCAAUUGUUGCAAUCAAAAGCAAUCACACAUUGCUGUUCCAACUAUCAUCCUCCCCAUUAUUACCUGCAUGUGAGAUCCAACAUGAUCUUGGGGAGUAAAUUGCACUAGCAUGCACACAUUUUACUGGAGUUUUAUUUGGUCAUCCGAACUUUUAGCACUGUGGACCUACGGAUCAUGUAUCCGUCGCAUAUUUUCAAUUCGACGGUCUAAUUUUUAAGAUAGGAAAAGCUGUAAUUGAAUUGGUGAUAUAAUAUUGACAUAUGUAAUAAAAGAUCAAGGGUUGGUAAAUAAUCUGGGGCUCUAAUUAAUAGAAUAAAUAAUUGCUUCGAAACGGCGUCGUAACUCGGUGCAACACUUCAUUAUAAUAUAUAUUAGUUUUGGGCUGUAAUGAUAAAUUUUGAUUCUUAAGGACGAGCCCAUGACAACAAAGUUUUUGGCCCAAAAUGGCCGAUAUGUUCCUCUUCGUUAGUGGAAUUGAAGUGGGACUUUUCUUCAACUAAAAGAUGACCAUUCUAUCCUCGUAUAAAUAUCUUUUUCAUUACGUUUGGAAUUAUUUAUUAACUGUAAUAUUUCUAUUCUAACUUUUAUGCCAUCCUACUUAAAUCAUACAUUAUAAAUUCUAAAAUUUUUUGGUAGUAGGUAUCCGGGGUUCCAAGUUCGAAUCCUAAUUGAUUCACAUUUCCAGCUAAGUUUAUUUCUAAAUGAAAUAAACGAAGCAGAUAACAUGCUAUCUAUCUCUUAAUUUUUGUUUUUUUAGAACCCUACUUUCAUGGAGCCCACUUGCUAAUUUAUUCCUAAUCCAAAUUCUGUCGGAUCGCAAUUCACUUAAAGUGUACAGAUACAGUGCCUACGGGUCUUAAUUGUGAUUCGGUCUAUCCAACCUCAUGCCACUUCAAACAUGACUUGGCUCACCGCAGCCUCACGCAAUUUCGAAUAUGACUCGGCCUAACAUGGUCUUCCGUCACAGGGCAAGAUGCUGGCCCAUUUAAGCUAACAAUCUCCCCUCCAGCACCUGUACACAUUUGUAGCAUGCGGGAAUUGAACCUAUGACCUCUGGAUGCCACUUUUCGAAUCGUUGGCGCUAACCAUUAAUCCCAAAAGCUCAAGUUGUUCGAAAUACGCAACCAAUUCACUUAAAGCGUACAGAUACAGCUUUCACGGGGCUCAAUUGUGACUCGGCCACCCAACCUCACGCUACUUCGAACAUGACUUGGCCCACCCCAAUCUUAAGCCAUUUCGAAUAUUACUUGACCCAAUAUGACCUUCCGCCACAGAGAAGAUGCCGGCCAUUUAAGCCAACAAAUUCAACUUGAAAUAAUAAGCAAUAGUACAUCACAAGAAUACAAUUUGCAUUAUUUAAAAGGAGAGUUUCUUACAAUAAUUAUGAUUGACUUUGCUUUGUACACUCUUCCACGUUACUAUAUAUUAAGCAACCAACUAUUAAAGUCAUUAAAAAAGUACGUAUAUAAUCAUGUGUAGCAGUAACACAAUUAUAUGUUUCGUGCAAUUAUGUACACACACCAGAAAUAAAACUUUUGACCCAUUAAGAGUGUGUUUGGUUCCACGUAAAACUGUGGAAAAAAAAUUUUCGAUGAAAAAAAAAUUUUCGGUGGAAAAACGAUUUUACAUAGUUAGUGUUUGUUUUGUAGGAAAAGAAAAAUAAUUUUUCACGACGGGAGUUUGGUUGGAAGGAAAAAAAAUAGAUGAAAAACUAUUUAUUAUUUUUUAUUAUAUAUUAUUAAUAUAUAAUAAUUAAAAUAUUUUAUAUAUUAUUAUAAUUUUUAUAUAUAGAUUAAAUAUAUUUAAAAUUAUAAUAAAUAUGUUACAUCAUGUAUAAUAUAUUUAGAAAUAUUAAUAAAUAAUUACAAAUUUAUAAAUAAAAUAUUAUAUAUAUAAAUAAUAUUAUAUUUAUAAAUAUAGUAUAAUAAUUUUUUUUCACAACGGUUUUUAUUCUGAAAGGAAAAAAAAAUAGAUAAAAUACUGAAUUAAUUAUAUUUUUAAUUUAUAUAAUAUUAAAUAUAAUAAUUAAUAUAUAUUAUUAUAUUAUUGUUAUAAGUUUAUAUAUAAAUUAAAAAUAUUUAAAAAUUAAAUGACAUAUUAGCAUCAGUAUAUAUAUAUUAUAUUAUAUAUAAUAUAUAAUAUAUAUAUGAUAAGAGUUAUAUUAUUAGAGGUAUUAAUAAAUAAUUUAUAAAAUUUUAAAAUAACGAAAUAUAUAUAAUAAUAUUUCUAUUAAUAAAAAAUAUACUAUAUAACUAGAAUAAGUAUAUAUAUAUUUAUAAUAUUAAUUAUAAUUUUUACCGUCUUUUAUAUAUAUAUAUAUAUAUAUAUAUAUGAUAGAACUAGGCUUACUAUGCUAAUUAAUAGCACGAAGCACUUGGUGCUACAGUUUUAGCCAUAUGGAUUCAAAAGUAUUGGCGGUUAGGAUGAUUGGGUCCUCUGGGGUUAGAGUGGGUGUGUUAAAAUAGUAUGAUCUACCACGUGGUAAAAUGAUCAAAGAGUAGAAUCUAACAGUGCGGAAAAUUGGUAGCCUCACACUCUCUCUCUCUCUCUCUCUCUCUCUCUCUCUCUAUAUAUAUAUAUAUAUAUAUAUAUAAAAAAAAGAGAGAGGAGUGGGUGAGUGGUCACGAGAACCAGGCUUUCUCGUGGACCGCGCCUUUUGGAGCCGCUGUGAGCCGCGCCUUUUGGAGCAAGUUUUCGUUUUCCGCGGAAGGAUGGCGGAAAACGAAAACUCGGUUUUUCCGAGAAUCUGUAAAAAAUUUUUUUCAACAACUUUUUUUUUUCCGAACACCCAAACAAAGGAAAAUCACUUUUCAACCGAAAUUUUUUUUUUUUGAGGACUUUUACAUGCAACCAAACACCGCCUAAUCGAAAUCGUGAAAUAUUACCCAACUGCACCAGACAAUAAUAGUGCAUAUGCUAUUGGUGUCCAUUUUAAGAAAAUAUAUUCUUUUCUAUCUACUACUACAAGUGGCUUCAUUAAUUCCAAAUCUUCCAACCACUUUCCCAUUCUUUGUAAAUUAACUAUUUUCAAAAUAUAUUUUUUUUUUUUGCAAUAAGGCUUCCCAAAAUAAUUAAGACUUACUUGAUUCACUUAUUUUAGAUUUUAAAAUAUAAAUGGGAUUUACUAAUUUUGAUAGUUGUUAUUUGUUUUAUAGAAUUCACAUUGUGAUUUUCAUCCCACUGAAAUGGAAAUAAUUUAAUUCAUUUAUAGCUUGAUCUAGCUUUUAAUCCUGAUUAGCUCAUUUCAAAAUAAAUUACUUAAAAUUUUCUUUCACAAAUACCUUCUUUUCUCUCCUUUCAUCUCUCUCUUCUUACUGAACCAAAAUCUUCUCUCGGAAUCCUAAGCGUUCCUAUUAUUCUUUCCGAUUUUUCUUCCAAUAAUAACUGAAAUAUUUGUAAAUAAUUUAUUAUUUUAUUUUUUAUUCCAAUACAAUUUAAUUUAAUUUUUUUUAUUUUAAUUCCUAUUGUGAAAUAAACAUGCACUACAUUAAUUUGAGAAAAUAAAUAGAAGAACAAAGAAUGUAAUAAUUACUCCCCAUAAUUACUUGGAAUUGUGAUAAUGAAGCACAAACUCUACAAGCUUUAACUAUCUUUUUUUUUUUUUUUUUUUUAAGUAAAGCAUCAAAUUCAGCAGGUCAUUAUUGGGCCCCACAUGCCUGCUACAAGAAGCUUGUAAAGCAUUUCUUUGUUGAAAUUUUUUUUUUUUAAUCAAAGCCAGAGUUAAGGUCUGAAUUUUUAUUUAUGUUGGAGUAAAAUCAAUUGUUGGACUGAGAGGCCAAAGUUUGGAGCCCGCUACGAAUCUCACUGAGAGUGCGGGUCGGAGUCCACACGGUACGGAUCCGCUUAGUUCGGACCGGAAUAUUUUUUAAAUUAUAUUCUAUUUUGGCCUAUCCAUUUAGUUAAACCUAAAUUAUUUCCAAUUUAAUGUAACAUAGCCUCUUAUUUGGGAAACUUUAGUAUGUAAGAGAGAGCAUUAGGUAUAUUUUGAGAUAUAAUUUUCUAAGAGAGGAGCCUAUUGUACAAUGUGUACUGGGCGUGCGAAUGGGAUCCACAUUAAUUAUUUAUCUACUUUAGUUUCUUCUACGAAUUAGAAUUUUUUUAGAAUUUUUAAUUUAUGUCGAAGUAGCUACGUUUAAGAACUUCAGUUCGACAACUAUAGUUAAACUUCGAUCGCGAUCAAAUCACCGAGAAGCUGUUUCGAGUUUCGACUGAAUCUACACCCACAUGAGCUUAACAAUAGGACAUAUCUACAGGAACCCACUCUUAAACUUGUAGAUGUACCCAAUUAGUUUGUAUUAUCCGAUGUAGUGCUUAACAAUUAUUUAUCCGAUGUACCCAAUUAUUUAUCCGAUGUAGAGCUUAACAAUAGGACAUAUCCGAUGAACUGAAGAAUGUCCAUGACGCUUGCUCUGCGGAAAUUGGAGCAAUUUUCCGAGCGACAAAUCUGUUGUUGCAAAGGUAUUCGGGAGAAACUUUUCAUAUCUACUCAGAUUCAGCACCCAUCAUCAAAGCCUUGCACCUUAGGAGCUAUCAUUCAGUUUCGUUAACAGAUGAAGCUCGAACAAGAAUCUCGGAUCUCCGAACUUUUCUUGAAAGUUCCAAGCUAUUUAGUUAUGGAUGGUCGUCUAGAUAUUCUAAAAAUGCUGUAGUUGCAGAUCGAUUGGCCAACUGGGGGCUUACUAGCAAAAAACUCUCUUUUUGGUCCUCUGUAGAUGAAUUCUACCAAGUUGUACCUCCCGAUUGAUAAAUAAAUUCGCCUAAGGGCGUGUUUUCCCUCAAAAAAAAAAAAAAGAAAAAGUUUGUAUUAAUUAAUUCUUUGAACAAUUAAAUUCAUUACAUAGAAUUCUAUUUGAACCAAUCCAAAAUCUUACGUAAGAAUCGCUUUUCCACGGUUCCACUUUUAUUUGUUUCUGAACGUGGAAGGAGCCCAACAUUCGCACGCUUUGUAGCGUGCAAGUGAAGUGCAACCACAGAAACUGGGACUAUUCAUAUAUAGGAUGAUUGAGGCCUCUCAUAAUUAGUUCCAUUAACUAAGUAUUGGACCCACAUCAACUCCACUACUUUUAUUUCAUCUUCUAAAUAAGAUCUCAAAGCUUCUAACUCAUCAGAAACCAAUAAGGAAAUAAUUUAUUGCGCGCAGUUACUAUUGUAUUGCAGUUUUAACUUUACACAAAUUUGAAUAUGUUAUUUGGAUUCGUGCAUUUGUAAUUCCAACUGCAACGGUAGGUGAAGACGAAUCACUUCGAUCAAUAAAUAAUAAUAAUAAUAAUAAUAAUAAUAAUUCUCCACACUACCAAAUAAAUUAAUUAUAAUUAUAACCGUUAUAGACCCACAAAACUUAAUAAAAUAAUCAACUAAUAUAUUUUCAAUGCUAUUCAUUUUUUACUAAACUAUGCCUAUAAUUAUUAUAUGGAUAAAUUACAAUUCUGGUCCUCAAAUUAUCGGGCUGGUAAUAUUUUUGUUCUUAAAUUUUCAUUCAUUUUAAUUUUUGACUCGAAUUUUUUAAAUUAUUGCUGUACAAAUCACAACCCAAUUUAUUUUACUAAAUGUUGACAAUACAGUUAUAAUUAAGAUGAUAUACAGUUUAUAUAUACUAGUGGCUCGUCAGAAUUUAACCAACUAAUAGUUUAUAAGACUUAAUUGAUCAUAAUAGUUUAUAAAAUUGAAAAAAAAAAUUAUAAUAAAUUAAAAUUUAAGAACUAAAAGUGCUAUACACGCGCAUGGUGUGUAAUGCUUUGAGGAAAUUUCUUUUUUCGGGUUUCAAUCAAUUGCUCUAACCCACUAGCCAAGUCAAGUAAACAUACUUAUCUCUUGUAAAAAAAGACAAAUUUUAUAGCUAUCAUUGUCAAAGUAAGUACAUAUAUAGAAUUCCUACACUAGGAAAUAUUCACCAACCAAUGAGAUUGGUCACAAAAGGUACCUUACUUAGGAAAAUUAAACCCUCAUCAACCAAUGAUACAGUUUUUCGGUGCCUAAUUACCACAAAUUAAUUAAAAAAAAACAUAUUCUAUAAAUAUAUAGUGCAUAGGAUAUUCUAGAUCGAUCAUGCGUUACGUGUCCGAUUCAAAUAUCCUAAAUCAUCCAGUUUCGAAAUCGAUGUUGUCAAAAUAAGAUUUUAUACUAUCGGUGCAAAUAUAUCUUAUUUACUCAUGAUUUAAAUUUUUAUUCUAACAAUAAUAAAAAUUAACUUAUUUUGAUCAUACCGCGACUGUCCCUAGAGCAAGUGACAAAGGACUUGGUGGUUGGUACCCGAGACCCAAGUUCGAAUUCUAGUUGAUUCACAUUUCCAGCUAAGUUUAUGUCUAAAUAAAAUAAACGAAGCGGGUAGCGUGCUACCUAUCUCUCAAAAAAAAAAAAAACUUAUUUUGAUCAUAUCUAUUCAUAUAUUUUGUGGCCUAAUAAGGAUUAGAUCACUAAAAUUUUAGAGAUCACAAUAGAAAUUUAAUAUGGUAUUACUUUUUAAUUGCUAGAUACUAGUACUAGUUAAAGUUACAGCAUUAAGAUUCAAAGAAUAUGAAUUCAAAAAGAGAGCUCUUAACUUUUCAUAUGUACUUUUUUUAAAAAAAUUCGUUUAUGCUUUUAAUUAGCACUUAAUUUUGUGAGCAAGUGUGCUAGGACAAGCCUACAAAAUUAAGAGUCUACUAUAAAUCAAAAUUGUUUAUUGAUUUUUACAUAACCUGCAUAGUUCGGUUGAACAACCCAUUAUCUUAAAAAAAAAUUAAAAUAUUAGAGACAAAUAAAUAUUUCACACGAUUAAUUCCCAGUUUGAAUCCAAUCAGGCUACAGGUUUUAUUAAUUUCUCCUAUUCAAUUCAAGUCUACGUCUUGGGUAAACGCUAAUAUUUCAAACCCAAAUAUGACAAAAAGUAUUGAAUAUAAAAAUAUUAAAAAAUAAUUAUUUAAAACUUAAGGUUUUAAUUAAAAACGAUUGUUUUACUUUUUUUUUUUUUUGGUUGGUUGGUGUUUCUCCAUGUAAUUGUGUGCCAAAAUUUUGGAGCUAAGUUAUAUACGUAAUCCACUUGGCACAUGUAACACGACAAAGUAACAAACGUACAUCAUUUUAAUAUUAUGGCCAAUGGCCAAUGGGUUAGCUUACAAGCUAUGAACCUUCCAACACGGAUUGAGAAAAUAAUUGGUGGGGGGACUUGGAAGUUGAUCUGGUCAACGAUGUAGAUAAUGAUUAAUUAGGUGGAUAAGCAUGUGAUUUAGCAUGGGAUUAAUUAAGGAUCUAUUUAAAUGUAUGAAUAUUUUAUUCAUCACUUCCUUUUCAUUUAUUCCAAAGAAGCACACGAUUAAAUGUAUAAAACAGCAUAUUAUAUACGACCUCUAAGUCAUUUUGUGAUAAAAGAAAAUAAAACACCUUUGUAAAAGCUAAAGUAAAGCUUAUUUAUUAACUUGCAACCAUAAAAAUUAUUAUUAGAUAACUUGUUCUGAUAUUUAAAUAAGUAAAAGCUUCGAAAAUACCUAAAAAUUAAGGAGCACAUCAUUAUCUUUUAUUGGAUCUUUUUUAAAUCUGUCGUCUAACAUGAUGCUGAGAUAAGAAAAAAAAAAUUUUAUAUCAAAAUAAAUUUAAGAUUCAAACUUGUUUUUAAUCACACAACUCAUCAAACUGUCCCAACGGGGAUUUUAUUGAAGAGCUUCUCAACAAAGUUAGGCCCUGCGACUUAAGCGUGGCUUUGAUUAACUACCGCGUGUUUGUUUACGCUUAGAUAUAUAUACACAUUCAAGUAAUGAAAGCUAAGCAAUAGGAAGUUGGUAUAACCUCCAUCAACUCUCUUCCUUCGGAAAAAAGCUUCAACCUAGCUCUAUUCCUUUUUGUUCUUCUUUCUCACUCAGUCCUCAUGGAUCAACAAGAUGGCGAUUACAGCGGCGAUUUUAUGGUCCUAAGACCGGAUAAAGGAGGGAUGUUGGAUCUCUUCUAUCUCUUAUUUUCGAGCGAUCUUACGAAGAAUAACGCCGUCGACUGCCCGAUCGGCACCGAGAUAGACAAAGUAGGAAGAAGAUGGGCGAUCUUCAUCUCCCUCCUCUUGCAGAAGAUUCUCCUAAAGUUGAAGAAACCAAUGGCUCUCGUUGGUUCUGCGCUCGAGCAGUGGAUGAAUCUUCUCUAUGAGAAUGGUAGUUACUGGAAUCUCUUCAGUAAUAUCGUGAAAGGUGCGUAACCUCUAUGAUCGAAAAAAUAAUAUUAAUGUCAAAACAAUUUAUGUUAUUGCCAGAGCAAAAGUUUAUAUCAUGAUCAGAUACAGAAUAUUUACUUUCGCAAUAUCAAAACUAGCUUUGACAUCAAUACCUGUUCCCAACCUUUAUUUGCUAUAUUGUGAUUAAUUAUUGACAUAUAAUAUAGAAGACGUAAUUUUUUCAAAAAGAUAAAAAAAAAAACAAGAAGCAAGAAUGAAAUGAAAAAUCAGUACAAGAUCUUUAAUUAAGCUUUAACAAACUAAUUACAAUGGUUUUGAGAUAUAUUGACGAAUUGGCACUUUUUUAAAAAAAAUUUUUCAAGUUCUUAUCAGUUUGUUAACUUCGUAUUUAAUUAAUUUCAUCUUAUUCUUUGAACGGAAAAUUUUUUUCCAGGAACACUAAAGGAUUGUUGUAGAGAUAAAAUUCAAUUUUGUUUGUUGAAAUAUGCAACAAUUUAAUUAGUUAAAUUUGUAUGUAAAAAUUCAAUUAUGUGACUCUGUUUGUUGGACUUAUUAAAAAAAUUUCGCCUUAGCGAAUUCAAAAUAUAUGAAACUAAUACUACUAACAACUUAAUUAAUUAGAUUUUUAGAUAUAAACGGCUGUUUCGUAUGCCAUAAAAGUUGUUCGUAAAUUAAAUUUCUUUUGUUUAAUUCAAAUACACAUAUAAAAUGUUAAAAUACAGUUUUCUGUUGAAUAAUUAAUUCCAACAUAACAAGUUGAGCCCUACUUUUUAAUGCAAUUUAAAAAUAUCUACCAAUAAUGUAAUAAUAAUAUGCAAUAAGGUUAUGCUAACGAUACUAUGUGAGUUUCCUAGCAAUGUAGUUUUCUUAAUUACACCUAACACGCCAACUAAACUAAAUUAUUACCCACGAGGAAGUAAUUAAUAGUAAACUAACAAGAUUGCUUCUCACGUUUCAAGACUUAAAAAAUCCAUAAAAUUUCGUACCUACCGAAUAUAAAUAAUUUAAAAUACUAUUUUAAAAAAAUUUAAGUCUCUAAAAAAUGAGUAUUAUUUAAUAUGUUAUCAAAACAGGAGGUUCUGAAUCUAAAUCUCACUUGUAUUAAUUUCUUUUCUUAGGAAAAAUGAGGAUGCCGGACAAAACGAAGUCGACAUAUAGAUCGGCGAUUGGACUCAUCGACACGCGAGUCGACUUGGAUAAGAAGAUCAAAACUAGUGAUAGCAGAUACAAUGCUGCAUUGUCUAUCAUGGCUGCAAAGCUAGCUUAUGAGAAUGAAGCAUCCAUUGAGACCAUUGUUACACACCAUUGGAAGGUUUGGAUUUAACACUAAAUUCAUUAAUUAUGUGAGUGAAAAUUAAGUUUUAUGUUGAGAUUGACAACUUAUUGUUUAAAUGCAGAUGAAGUUCUUGGGGAGUUAUAGUUUCUGGAACGGUAAGAUAAGCUCAGAGCAUUACUAUAAUAUUGUUGCAUUGUUUCUGAACGAUGGGGCAUCUAAAUUUAUGAAUGACACUGUUAAAUUAGUACGAUCUAAUUUAUUUGAAUUUCAUAGGAAUUAAAAAUUUAUAAUUUUACAACAUCAUUUACCUGACCAAAUGAUCCUUAAUUUAUCUUCAAGUUAACAAUUAAAAAUUGAUAACUUUUGAUCUACUUUAAUAGUACUAGAUAGGAAAUAUAGAAAAUUUAUGAAAUUUGAUUAUUAAAAAGUUUAAAUACGCUAGAUAAUGUUAGAUAUCACUGAUCAUCGAUCCAAAUGCUGCGUUAUGAGAAAUGACGUAAAAAUAAACGAUUUUAUUUACUUCCAGAAGUAUACUAGCUUUUGAUUUUUUAGUACAAAGGUGGUCAUUAAUUGGGAAUGGGCUAAGCACUAUUAAUUGGGAGCUCGGCCCAAGUACUAUUUUGGCUUUGGUUUUCUUAUCCAAUUUACUCUCACUUUGUACAACCAAAAUUGUUCUAUUAACAAAAAUGUUCUACUAUUUAUUUUUCGCAACAAUAAAAGGAUUAACAUGCACAAUACUAACUCAUUUUGCACACUACGUAGUACGUACCCAACCUCUUCCUCAAUCAUCGUUUCUCAAUUGCUACAUUGCAGAGUACCAAGGGGACUACUCCACCCAAGCCUUCAUGUUCUGCGACAAACCGACGGACGCCGAGCUCAUCGUAGUGGCAUUCCAGGGCACCGAGCCAUUCGACGCGAUGCAGUGGCGCACCGACAUCGACUUCUCGUGGUACGAGAUCCCAAACGUGGGCAGAGUCCACUUAGGCUUCAUGAAGGCACUAGGCCUACAAAAAACCAGUGUCGGAUGGCCGAAAGAUAUCCAAACAUCAGCGAAGCCGCUCGCUUACUACACCAUUCGCGAGAAACUUCGCGGUGCUUUGGUGGAGAAUAAGAAUGCGAGGGUUCUGAUAACCGGACAUAGCCUGGGAGGCGCGCUGGCGAUUCUGUUUCCUGCUGUGUUGGCGUUGCACGAAGAGCAUAACAUGUUGGAGAGGUUGGAGGGAGUGUACACGUUCGGGCAACCCAGGGUUGGAGAUAAGAGGCUUGGAGAGUUUGUGGAGGGGUUCUUGGAUAAGCCUAAGAGGAGGUACUUCAGGUUUGUUUACUGCAAUGAUGUGGUACCUAGAGUGCCCUUUGAUGACUCUGUUCUCUCGUUCAAGCACUUUGGCAAGUGCCUUUACUAUGACAGCUUCUACAGAGGAAAGGUGAGUCUCCUCUCCCUCACAUUCAUGUCUAAUUUGCUUAAAAGUGUUGGUAUUUGCAAAUCUUGCUUCGACAUUAAAAGAUCAGAUCAGGGUUUUUUUUUUUUUUCCUCCAAAAAGAAAAAUACUCAAACUUACUGGGCAAAUUAAUAAGUACGUAGGCAGAACACUGCAGAUUAGAAGAAAGUGUCAAAAAACAAAAAGCAAAAAAAGAAAACUAGUAAAAACUCUUAAAGUUGUAGGUAAUAACUAUUAUUUAGUGCUUUAAGAGCAAAAGAAUCAAUUCAUAGAGUAUUUACUCUGUUCCUAUUAAAAUUAUACAAUUGUUAAAUGUUCCCAUAUCAAUUCUCUUGGCGUAAUAUUGAAACAACAGCUUCUCUCUGAUAUACAUACUUGCGUUCUUUUUGUUCGGCGUAAUUUUGAAACAAUUGAUCUGCUUUAGAGCUUCAAAAGUUUUAUAAACAAAGUACUGGAUCAUUGAGUUUUUAUUGUGAUGAAAAAUUAAAAUGAGUUAUUGGGCUUUUUAAAUUGUACUUACCUAUGUGGCAUAAUUUUUAAAUUAUUUUUCUACUUUGGAAGUUCAAAACUUAGCUUCCUAUUCACUUCGUUCAAUUUUUUAAAAAAAAUUAGUUCGGCUGAAAAUACAUUAAGCAACAAGACUGCGAAACUGAACCUCAGAUACCAACCAUCGAGCUUUUUAGUCAAUUGCAUUAGGUAUAGUCGGUGAAAUCCAAAACUAUCAUAACCAAAUGUUUAAAUGAUAAAAAUUUUGAAACUUUUGCCAAGUUCUUGGGUUUCUUAAGUGGAGAUUCUAAAACAAAUAUGUAAUUUUUUUUUAAAACAAUAAAAUUUUUAGUACUACUCUCUAUAUAUUAAUAACUAAUUAUUAAUUAUUAAUUAUUUUAUAUUGUUGAGGUGCAGGUACUGAGCGAUGAGCCGAACAAGAACUACUUCUCGGUGUGGACGGUGAUCCCGAAGUACAUGAACGCAUGGUGGGAGCUCAUCCGCAGCUUCUUGAUCGGAUACGUGGAGGGCUCUGAUUACGCCGAAGGGCGGCUACUCAGAUUCGCCAGGGCCGUUGGAUUGCUGAUCCCCGGUUUGCCCCCGCACUCCCCACAAGAUUACGUCAACUCCACCCGAUUGGGGACUCCACUCGUGCCAGAGAAUUAAUUAAUGACUCCUCAACUUAAUUGCGUGAUAUUUAUUCACUAAAUUUAUACAGAACUUUAUUUAAAUUAUAGACUAUUUUAAAUUAAUAAUUUAAACUCUUUAAAUUUUAGUUUUUUAAUUUGUUUAAUUUGAGUCUGUCAACGAAAUUUUAUGUGGUCUAUAUUUAUAGAUUUACUUGUUAUAUUUCAUACAAUUUUCGCAACUAUAAAAAAUUUCUUAAAGUUAGUAAUUAGCUCAUGAUUGGUGACUCACUCAACUUAGACAAAUUGAAAGAUUGAAUAGUAAAAUUAAAAUUUUGAAAGUAUGAAUAGUCAUUUCAAAAUGAUCUAUAAUUCAGAUAAGUUCUGUACAUUUUUAUCUAAGUUAAAUGUAUCAGAAUCGUCCGAAUUGACGUCGCCUUCUUUGCAGAGAAGUAUUUAAACCCGGAAAAUCCUUAAUAUUAGCUGCUGGAGUAAAAAAUAAUAAAGAAUGUAUGAUGGUGAUAUAAUUAAAUAAGUUUUCCGGAUAUCAAAAUUAAUUUUGAUAAUAAAAUUUAUCAUAAUAAUAACAUUCAAUUUGUAGAACUCAAAUGCUAGAAAAUUAAUUUUUAUACUGUAAGGUUGAAUUUUGACGUCAGAAAGAAUUUUUCUAUAUUACUGGCAUGCUAUUAUCACUGUUUUAAAAAUCGGAUUGGACAAUAAUUCAAAAAUGUAACUGGUUCGACGUAGGACUGGCAAACGAGCGAGCCGGCUCGCGUUCGGCUCGAUAUUUGGCUCGCUCGAGCUCGACUCGAAAUUAAAUGAGCUGAACUUGAACAAAAUAAAAGGCUCGAAAUUCAUUUCAAGUCGAGCUUGAGUAUUACUCGGCUCGUUCGAAUUAGGCUCGAAAAGCUCGAAAAGUGAGCUGAGCUUGAACAAAAUAAAAGGCUCGAAAUUCAUUUCAAGUCGAACUUGAGUAUUACUCGGCUCGUUCGAAUUAGGCUCGAAAAGCUCGAAAAGCUCGAAUAUAUAUAUAUAUAUAUGAGUCCGGCUACUAUACUUUUAUGAGUAUUGGCUCCCUUAUACUCAUAAGUUUUCGGCUCUUAGAUUUAUUCCAUUGAUCAUUUUUACCCGUUAGAUCAUACUAUUCAACUAAUUACCCACUCAAUCCUAGGGGACCGCUAUCAUUUUAAGUGGGGACCACUAUUACACUAACCACACAUCCCAUCAAUCAACGGUUAAAAAUUUAUGAGUACAAGGGUGUCUAUACUCAUAAAAGUAUAGUAGUCAUAUAUAUAUAUAUAUCAAACAUUUUUAUAUAUUUUUUAAUUUUUGAUAAAUCAAAUUUAAGUANUUCUACAAAUUGUUAUAGUCAAUUUGUUAAAAAAAUAUCUCAAAUAAAAACAAACGAUUAUGAUCAAAUUAUUAAAAAAUAGUAUUCUUAUUCAUCUAUUUUACAUUAAAAUUAAAAUUUAAGUUUAAAUUAUGGAUUCAAUUUAAUUUUUGAUAUCAAAUUUGAAUUAAUAGUUAAUUUUUUUAUUACAGCGGAUCAAAAUUAAAUUUUAAAUUUUAAAGUAAAUGAAAAUUAAAUUUUGAUGCUUUUAGUUUAAGACACAUAUUUAAAUUUGAUUCAUCAAAAAUCAAAAGGUAUAUAAAAAUAUUCGAUAUAUAUUAAAAAAAAUACUGUAGGAUAUUGUUAAUAUUUUUUAAUAAAAUAUAACAUAUUAAUUUAUGAAUAUGAUUUUUAUUAUAAAAUUUUGAAUAUAUAUAAUGAACAAAUUUAUAUUAAUUUAAAAUAAAUUAUAAUAAUUAUUACGUGCAUUUGCACGUACAUUCAACUAGUUAAUAUAAAAGCACAUAACUUUACUUAAAAAAAGUUUAAUUUCAAAAUGUAGUAAAAUACAGUCCAAUAAUAUUGUUUCAAUUUCUGUCACCUGUCCAUGAACAUUCUUCAGAAAAUAAAAGAUAAAUGGGAAAGAUUCUGUCCCCUUUGAUAUAUUUGUUUUACAAAAAUUAAAAAAGAGCGGAGUUGUUUUUGACCGUAAAUCAUUACUUUCGCUGUUUGAUUUGUAAUAAAUUAAAUUUAUUAUUAACUUUACUUUUCAAAAUAUUUUUUUUUGGAUGGUGCCGAAGUCUAUUACUAAAUAAAAAUAAAAAAAUAAAAAAGUAAUAAAAUAAUUAACUGUUGUAAUUCUUUUUCCAUUGUCGGUGUAGAAAUUUUCAACAAAAUAAAUUAAAAAGAAUGAGAUAAUUAAAGUUUCAAAGCCAUCGUUUCCUUAUCUAAAAAACAGUAGGAAAUUAUUUUAUCUUAAAUUUUAAUUAAACUAGGAGUUAUCUUUAAAUUGAAAAUAAAUUUUGACAAAACAAACACGUCAUUUACGUCGUAGGCCUAAUUCGGUGAUAUGACAGCUAAAGACCCCAAAAAUCGAAAAGUGUUUAUAUAAUCUUCUUGUCUCUAAUCGUUUAAAAUAACAGUUGUAGCUCCUUAGAAGUAACAAUGGUGAAUUAAAUUAAUUUUUAUAGAAAAAAAAAUUAGAAAAUUUUUUAAGAGGAUAUUUCUGCAUAAUUUUAAAACUUUUUUAAAAAAACAUAUUUAUAAUGACAAAAUAAAUAUUUUACUUAUUUUUUAUUAAAUAAUAAAUAGUAAAUUACGAGUAAUAAACUAAAAGGACAAAUAUAAACAACACCAAACUUUUAAACAUUUAAAAACUUAAACAUUAUAAAAAAUAUAUCUGCCUUUUUAUUAUAUACUAGUGAAUUACCCGCGCGAUGCUGCGGAUAUAAAAUUAUUUUUAUAAUAAAUUAUAUAUUUUUUAAUAUUUUUAUAUAGUUUUAUAAGUCUAAUUAUUAAUUAAAUAAAAAGUUAUAUAAAAAUAAUUUAAAAUUUUAAAUUAUGAAAAGUUUAAAAUUUGGAAAUAAAUAUUAUAAUUUAAAAUAUAAAAUAUUAAAUUUAAAAUUUAAAACUUUAAAAUUUAAAAAUAUCAAAAUUUUAAAUUUUGUAUUAUAUAUAUGUGUGUGUGUGUGUAGAAGGAGAGAGAAGAGGAGGGUUGGGGGGACACGUGUCACUCUAAGGUCCCCCAAACUCUCCUUUAAUGUAGUU
rnacentral:lncRNA from 1 species